UACGUAGGGUGCAAGCGUUGUCCGGAAUUAUUGGGCGUAAAGGAGCUCGUAGCGGUUUGUUGCGUCGGCUGUGAAAUCCCGAGGCUCAACCUCGGGUCUGCAGUCGAUACGAGCAAACUAGAGUGUUGCAGGGGAGACUGGAAUUCCUGGUGUAGCGGUGAAAUGCGCAGAUAUCAGGAAGAACACCUAUGGCGAAGGCAGCUCGCUGGGACGGUACUGACGCUGAGGCGCGAAAGCGUGGGGAGCAAACAGG
rnacentral:rRNA from 1 species